rnacentral:lncRNA from 1 species
AAAAGAAUAAUAUAAAUGCUAUUUAUACACCUACUGAAAAAAGUGAAUAUAAAUUUUAUGUCUUAUAUAUUAUCCAAGAAUUCAGACGUUUCCUUUUAGGGCUUGUUUGGUUCAAAACUGGAAUUAGAAUGGAUAAUGGAAUGGUAAUUAGAAUGGCCCACUCCCCCAAAAUAUUUGGUUUAUUUGUGGAUUGGAAAUUAGAAUGAGUUAUUCACAUUUCAAUGAUUGGUUCGUAUAAACUAAAAAAAUUAUAUAAUACUAUAAUACUAAUUUUACUCUCAAAUAUAAAUUUAUAUUAUUUAAAAUUUAUGAAAAAUAUAAUACUAUUUUCUAAUAAGUUUUCCAAAAAAAAUAUCAAAUUUCUUUUUAAAAACUUUUAUUGAUGUACGUUAGGGAUAGGGUUUUGAGAGAGAAUAGGUUUUUUUGAUAGGUAGUUUUUUUUUUUUUUGAUGAUAAAGGGGUGAAGAGAAGGAGGGUGAGAUGGUCACAUAGAUUUCGAGAACUUAGUGGGCUUCCGGAAUGGAAUCUCAAUCCGGACUAGAAGACCGGAAUCAAGUUGAAGGCUAAUGUGUCAUUCCCAUUCCAGUCCAGAAUAGAAAUCCCAAACCGAUUCAUGCGAACCAAACAAAAUUAACCGGAUUUGAUCAAAUCGAUUCCCAUUCCAUAUCCAAAAUGGAUGAACCAAACAAGCCCUUAAAGUAUAAGUACUAAAAGAAUUAAAGUGAUAAUACUAGCAUGCAGAAAU